GAACAGCUCUGACCCCACACGUACACACACUCCCCUCCUCCUAUAAGCGUGUUUUGGAGCUGCUCAAGCAAAGGGAAGAGUGAGCAGGAGUAAUUUUCCAUGGAUGCAGGGAACAAUUCAGCCCCGCAUGGUUUUCGUCGUUAAAACGCUUCCCUCCAGCAGUUUCUGCUCCUCCACGCCAGACAAAAGAGAUGUGCAUGCAGAGACCGGUUCAGCCUUGCUCCACCCUGCGGUGCCGAGGUGUGGGGUGCCGGGGAGGAGGCACGGGGGGGGACGCGGACGUGGUGACGUGGGCUUGCUCCAGCCGCGCUCACUUGGUGGUCACAGGGGUGGCGCAGGAUCUGCUGGAGGCACGCUCUGGUCGGGGCCAGGCCAGUUUUUGUGUGCAUGCUGCACCCGUGGAGCCCCGAUGUGACGCAGCAGAACUGCGGGGCUGUUGCGCUGCAUGCGCUGCUCUGGCAGCCGUGGCACUGCCCUGCUGGCUCUCGCUGCUUCCUGUCACGUCCCGGUCCUUGAAGAACAGCACUGAUUACAUUUUCCUCCCUAAUGAGCUCAAUGAGUCUGAGGUUGGGCUGAGACUGCCCCAGAGGACGGCGUUCAGGCCACAGCCCGAGCUCGAGGAGACGGCUGCGCAAAGCACAGACAUUGCAUGGAAACGCCACGGGAGCAAGGAACCGGGCGCUAAGAAAGCUGCCUGCUGCAUGACUGAAAUCCGGGGAUGUACCAGAAGGGCAGGGGACCACCACAGUCUGCAUGCCAUUUAAAAGGACGUACACAGGAGCCAGACCAAAAUUACCCCACUGACGCAAGGGAGGAUGGAGAGAAACAUUCCCAUGGAGUCUAGGCAUCCACAGGACCAAAAGCCACAGCCUAAGGAGCUAAAACACCCCCAAAACAAAUUUCAGAAAUAGUUCUCAACUCCACACAGACAGCUUGUUUUCUGUAAGCACAGCUGCUCCCUUUCCUUGCAUGCAUUUCUGAAGCAGGAGGUUUUCAGAUUGUCUUCUGAAGUACUUGGUAAAAGUCACGGUAAGCAGGAAACCAGCCUAAAUUGGGUCAUUAGUCCAACCAGAAUGGUAAUUUUCAGGUUUCUUGCCUUCCUUAUGCCACUGCUUUAUCUUCUAGCACCUUGGAUUUAUUGGGAGUUACAAGCACGUGCUCAGCAAUGGGUGGAAGAGUGCUUUGGCAGAGGAAAGGACAGCCAUGUUCUGGAGCUUUCCCGCACGUGCCUGGCCCAUUCUCAGCUGUUUGGCUGCCCUGCCUCUGUAGCAGGAAGCCCCCUGGGCUGAGGUGGCAAAUCCAUGUAUGAUUGCACGAGUACAGAGCUCCUGAAGGUGGGGUUAUCUGGGAAGCUGGGUGCCGGGCAUCGCGACGCUCCCCGCACCGCAUCCCGCCUUCCAGCCAGGGACGCAUCGACCCUGCAGAACUCAGCUUCCUCCAGAAGUUAAUGUCAAGCAGGAGGCAGUGUAAGUUAAUUUGUACCUAGGGUGGCUUCAUAAAUAAAAACCUUUAAGGAAAA